rnacentral:rRNA from 1 species
UACAGAGGGGGCAAGCGUUGUUCGGAAUUACUGGGCGUAAAGGGCGCGUAGGCGGCGCAACAAGUCACUUGUGAAAUCUCCGGGCUUAACCCGGAGCGGUCAAGUGAUACUGUCGUGCUAGAGUGCGGAAGGGGCUACUGGAAUUCCUGGUGUAGCGGUGAAAUGCGCAGAUAUCAGGAGGAACACCGGUGGCGAAGGCGGGUCUCUGGGCAACAACUGACGCUGGAGGAAGCGAAAGCGUGGGGAGCGAACAGG